AACAUCUCCUUUUGAAAAUAAUUUAAGGUUUAAUCUGCUCAAUGAAGUUUAAAUAGCUGCAGUAAUUUAACUGUACAAAGGUAGCAUAAUCAAUAGUUUUUUAAUUAAAAGCUGGAAUGAAUGAUUGGAUGAAAUAAUAAUUGUCUCAAAUUUAAUGAAGUUAGAAUUUUUUUUUUAGUUAAAAAGCUAAAAUGAUUUUAAAAGACGAGAAGACCCUAUAGAUUUUUAUAAUUUGAGAAAUAUUAAAUUAAUAUAAUUUAUUUUAAUUUUUUAAAGAAUUAUUAGAUUGGGGUAAUUUUUAAAUUUAAUAAAUUUUAAAAUUUAUUUAACUAAAGUGAUAGAGUAUUAGAUCCUAAAUUUGGAUUAUUAGAAUAAAAUACCUUAGGGAUAACAGCGUAAUAUUUUUAGAAAGAUCAUAUUAAUAAAAAAGAUUGCGACCUCGAUGUUGAAUUAAAAUAAAAUUAUAAUGAAGGCGUUAUAAAUUUUUAGUCUGUUCGACUAUUAAAAUUUUACGUGAUCUG
rnacentral:rRNA from 1 species